UACGGAGGGUGCAAGCGUUAUCCGGAUUCACUGGGUUUAAAGGGCGCGUAGGCGGCCUGUUAAGUCGGACGUGAAAUCCCUCGGCUCAACCGGGGAACUGCGUCCGAUACUGGCGGGCUUGAAUUCGGGAGAGGGAUGUGGAAUUCCAGGUGUAGCGGUGAAAUGCGUAGAUAUCUGGAGGAACACCGGUGGCGAAGGCGGCAUCCUGGACCGACACUGACGCUGAGGCGCGAAAGCUAGGGUAGCAAACGGG
rnacentral:rRNA from 1 species